CCUACGGGAGGCAGCAGUGAGGAAUAUUGGUCAAUGGACGAGAGUCUGAACCAGCCAAGUAGCGUGAAGGAUGACUGCCCUAUGGGUUGUAAACUUCUUUUAUAAAGGAAUAAAACGAGGCACGUGUGCCUUUUUGCAUGUACUUUAUGAAUAAGGAUCGGCUAACUCCGUGCCAGCAGCCGCGGUAAUACGGAGGAUCCGAGCGUUAUCCGGAUUUAUUGGGUUUAAAGGGAGCGUAGAUGGGUUGGUAAGUCAGUUGUGAAAGGUUGCGGCGCAACCGUAAAAUUGCAAUUGAUACUGGCAGUCUUGAGUACAGGUGAGGUAGGCGGAAUUCGUGGUGUAGCGGUGAAAUGCUUAGAUAUCACGAAGAACCCCGAUUGCGAAGGCAGCUUACUAAACUGUGACUGACAUUGAUGCUCGAAAGUGUGGGUAUCAAACAGGAUUAGAUACCCGAGUAGUC
rnacentral:rRNA from 1 species